AUUGAACGCUGGCGGCAGGCUUAACACAUGCAAGUCGAGCGAGCGGCGGACGGGUGAGUAAUGUCUGGGAAACUGCCUGAUGGAGGGGGAUAACUACUGGAAACGGUAGCUAAUACCGCAUACUAUCAGAGGGGCCCAGAUGGGAUUAGCUAGUCGGUGGGGUAAUGGCUCACCUAGGCGACGAUCCCUAGCUGGUCUGAGAGGAUGACCAGCCACACUGGGACUGAGACACGGUCCAGACUCCUACGGGAGGCAGCAGUGGGGAAUAUUGCACAAUGGGCGAAAGCCUGAUCCAGCCAUGCCGCGUGUAUGAAGAAGGCCUUCGGGUUGUAAAGUACUUUCAGCGGGGAGGCGGUACCCGCAGAAGAAGCACCGGCUAACUCCGUGCCAGCAGCCGCGGUAAUUC
rnacentral:rRNA from 1 species